UAAGCGGAGGAAAAGAAACUAACAAGGAUUCCCCUAGUAACGGCGAGUGAACCGGGAAGAGCUCAAAUUUGAAAUCUGGCGUCCUCAGGGCGUCCGAGUUGUAAUCUAUAGAGGCGUUUUCCGUGCCGGACCGUGUCCAAGUCCCUUGGAACAGGGUAUCAAAGAGGGUGACAAUCCCGUACUUGACACGAUGACCGGUGCUCUGUGAUACGUCUUCUACGAGUCGAGUUGUUUGGGAAUGCAGCUCAAAAUGGGUGGUGAGUUCCAUCUAAAGCUAAAUAUUGGCGAGAGACCGAUAGCGAACAAGUACCGUGAGGGAAAGAUGAAAAGCACUUUGGAAAGAGAGUUAAACAGUACGUGAAAUUGUUGAAAGGGAAACGAUUGAAGUCAGUCGUGACUGUUGGGCUCAGCCAGCUCUGCUGGUGUAUUCCCUUCAGUCGGGUCAACAUCAGUUUUGACCGGUGGAUAAUGGCAGCAGGAAUGUGGCACCCUCGGGUGUGUUAUAGCCUGUCGUCGCAUACAUCGGUUGAGACUGAGGAACGCAGCUCGCCUUUAUGGCCGGGGUUCGCCCACGUCCGAGCUUAGGAUGUUGACAUAAUGGCUUUAAACGACCCGUCUUGAAACACG
rnacentral:rRNA from 1 species